UCGAACGGUAGCAGGAAGUGCUUGCACUUUGCUGACGAGUGGCGGACGGGUGAGUAAUGCUUGGGAACUUGCCUUUAGGUGGGGGAUAACAGUUGGAAACGACUGCUAAUACCGCAUAAUGUCUACGGACCAAAGGGGGCUUCGGCUCUCGCCUUGAGAGAGGCCCAAGUGAGAUUAGCUAGUUGGUGGGGUAAAGGCCUACCAAGGCAACGAUCUCGAGCUGUUCUGAGAGGAAGAUCAGCCACACUGGGACUGAGACACGGCCCAGACUCCUACGGGAGGCAGCAGUGGGGAAUAUUGCACAAUGGGGGAAACCCUGAUGCAGCCAUGCCGCGUGUGUGAAGAAGGCCUUCGGGUUGUAAAGCACUUUCAGUUGUGAGGAAAGGUUGGUAGUUAAUACCUGCCAGCUGUGACGUUAACAACAGAAGAAGCACCGGCUAACUCCGUGCCAGCAGCCGCGGUAAUACGGAGGGUGCGAGCGUUAAUCGGAAUUACUGGGCGUAAAGCGCACGCAGGCGGCUUGUUAAGCUAGAUGUGAAAGCCCCGGGCUCAACCUGGGAUGGUCAUUUAGAACUGGCAGACUAGAGUCUUGGAGAGGGGAGUGGAAUUCCAGGUGUAGCGGUGAAAUGCGUAGAUAUCUGGAGGAACAUCAGUGGCGAAGGCGACUCCCUGGCCAAAGACUGACGCUCAUGUGCGAAAGUGUGGGUAGCGAACAGGAUUAGAUACCCUGGUAGUCCACACCGUAAACGCUGUCUACUAGCUGUUUGUGUAUUUAAUACGUGAGUAGCGAAGCUAACGCGCUAAGUAGACCGCCUGGGGAGUACGGCCGCAAGGUUAAAACUCAAAUGAAUUGACGGGGGCCCGCACAAGCGGUGAGCAUGUGUUUAAUUCGAUGCAACGCGAAGAACCUUACCUACACUUGACAUGCUGAGAGUUACUAGAGAUAGUUUCGUGCCUUCGGGACUCAGACACAGUGCUGCAUGACUGUCGUCAGCUCGUGUCGUGAGAUGUGGGUAGUCCCGCAACGAGCGCAACCCUGUCCUAGUGCAGCUAGUGGGCACUCUAAGGAGACUGCCGUGACAAAUCGGAGGAAGUGGGGGACGACGUCCAGUCACCAUGGGCCCUUACGUGUAGGGCUACCACCCUGCUACAUGCAAGUACCAAAGGAAACGAGCCAGCGGAGUGGGAGCGGAAACCUUAAAGCUGUGCUGUCAUCCGACAUAGAAUUGUCAACGCAUCACUUGAGAUCGGAAGCCAUUUAUAUCCGCAGGUGCCAACAUAAUCCGU
rnacentral:rRNA from 1 species